UGCCUGCCUCGGCCUCCCAAAGUGCUGGGAUUACAGGCAGGAGCCACUGUGCCUGGACAGGUCCCAAUCUAUAAUCGAAUGAAAUCAUCUUCUUUUAAUCAUCCCUCCACCAUCUUUUGGAUGGUCCAAUACCUCUUCAAGAGCUUUCAUUUUACUGUUCCGAGAAAAAGGGCUGAACCUAUAGUGGAUGCUAAAUAUUAAUGGGAAAAUAGAGGGAUCCAUUAGGAGAAUCUUGGGCUGUUUGGCAUCAUCGCUCACUGGAACUGGGGACAACUUCUUAGAUCUCUGUUACAUAGGACAUUUCAAGAUAAGGUAAUGUUUACAUGAUCUAAAAUAUGACUAUGUUUUAGAAGUAGAGACAAACAGUUCACCAAAACCAUGGCUAAAAAUGAUUAAGAACUUGUCAGUCCUCCUCAGGGGUCCUCUCUUUGCAGAAGCACAGAGACCACAGAGGCAAGAGCUGGGGAAGGAAAACUGCCUAAGAGAUGAGAUAUGCCUCUCAGCUUCCAAAAUGGGGGAGGUAAGAGGGAUUCUGGACAAAAUGAAACCCUGCACCCACAAGGAGUCCAGCAGACAGUUGUAGACACCAAGCAGACACCCUCGUAAUCUAAAAGUAGGGUCCAGACAGCAAGUUUCUGGCCCAUCCCCCACUCUGCUAAUGCUGACCUGGACCUAAAAUUAAGCCAGUCAGCCCUAUCUUGAGAUAACAGAGGGAGAAAAUCCUCCCUCCAUUUGACUCUCUAGGGUUGCAAAGAGAUGACACCAUCCACACCAGAACUGCAUGAAUGGCAUCAGGGAUGAUCAGAGACCAUAAAUUCCAGUGAGACCAAUAACACCAUUUCUGGUCCUGCAUGCUCUUCCAAACUUUGCCACUAACCCCUUCAAGAGAUGCCCCCCAUGGAAUCUAGCCAUCAUGCUGUGAGGAAUCCAAGCAGCUACAUAGAAAGGCCACAACUAGAUAUUCCAGCUGUAGUCAGCUGAAGCUCCAGCCAACAACUAACAUCAACCACCACGCGUGGAAACGAGCAAGCCUUCAGAUGAUUCCAACUCCCAACCUUCAAGCCACCUCAGCUGAAGCCAAGUAGAGCAGAGACUAGCUGUCCCCCAAUGCUCUAAUAUGCAGAUUCAUAAUUAAAAAGAAUGUUAUUGUUCUAA